UCGCUGGGCAGUGACGUCACGCAGUCGCAGCAUGGCGGGCAGUGGCCGCCGGCCCGAGCACCGCGGGCCACCCGAGCUGUUCUACGAUGAGGCCGAGGCGCGGAAAUACACCCAGAACUCCCGCGUGGUGGAGAUCCAGUCGCAGAUGUCGGAGCGGGCUGUGGAGCUGCUGGGGCUGCCCGAGGACCGUGCCUGCCUCCUGCUGGAUGUGGGCUGUGGCUCUGGGCUGAGUGGGGAUUACAUCUCUGAGGAGGGUCACUACUGGAUUGGCAUGGACAUCAGCCCUGCCAUGCUGGAUGUGGCCGUGGAGAGGGAGGUGGAAGGAGAUCUCCUCCUUGCAGAUGUGGGCCAUGGCAUUCCCUUCAGGCCUGGCAUGUUUGAUGGCUGUAUCAGUAUUUCUGCAGUGCAGUGGCUCUGUAAUGCUGACAAGAAGUCACACAGCCCCCCCAAACGCCUCUACAGAUUCUUCUCCACUCUCUACACUGCCCUGGCCCGAGGAUCCCGAGCUGUGCUGCAGCUGUACCCCGAGAACUCAGAGCAGCUGGAGCUCAUCACUGCCCAGGCCAUGAGAGCUGGAUUUACAGGGGGAAUGGUGGUGGAUUACCCCAACAGUGCUAAAGCCAAGAAGUUCUUCCUCUGUCUCUUUGUUGGGACAUCUGGCACAUUACCAAAGGACACGGUUCAGGAAUGUCAAGGGCAAGUCUGUGAAGAAAAGCCGGGACUGGAUCCUGGAGAAGAAGGAGCGCAGACGGCGCCAGGGCAAGGAGGUGCGGGCAGACACGAAAUACACGGGGCGGAAACGCCGUCCUCGCUUCUGAACUGCUCUGGACGCUGCUGCCAUGGAAGGUGGCACGUGGGUGCCUCCAGAGAGCCUCCUGUGGAUGGCACAGAUGGCACCCCACACCUGGGGACUUGAUGGAACUGGUCAUUGUGGCUCUUAAAGGUGCAAACUGGCGCAGGUGCUGCCGAACAGCAAAGCUUCCAGCCCUGUUGCCCUGGUGAAGGUGCAGACAGCGCUCUGGCACUGCUGCUGGGCAGUGCUCUACAGUGCCAUCACUUCCCUUCCUGAGUGCAGUGAGCCAGCUGAGCUCCAGCACUCAUCUUCAUUGGACACAGCUGUGGCCUGUUUAAGGGCAGGCUUGCUCCUAAUUGGUAAUUAGUACAGCUGCAACUCCUCAGAGGUGAGAUUACUUUCUGAACUAUUUUCUUACAUUCUAUCUUCCCACAACAGCCUGCCUUGUCCCUUUUCCUCCCCCCAAGCCGCACCCCUGCCCUAUGGUUCAUUGUCAGCUUUCACACAGUCUGUGCUGGGAGCUCUGCAACCCUCAGGACCUGGGCUGCUCCCAGUGGUGUGGGGCAAUGAGGUCCCUGGGCACCUGCAAAGCUGUGCCAGGCUGCCUGGGGCAGGCACAGAGCCAGCCAGGCCCUGUGGCUGGGAUGGAGGUGUCAGCAGUGCAGGCAGGGGCAGAUGGGCCCCAGCCAGAGCUGUGACUUGUAGCAUCCCAUGAACUGUCUCCCCUUGGUCAAUCCCCAAGCCCUCAGCCUGGACACAUUAACUACUUAGCACAGAGUCAUCCCUCCCAAAGGGAAAAACAGUCUCCCCAUGGAUUUGGUGUCACAACUUCCUCUGGUUUCCCCUGUGGGAACCUUCUUCCUUGGUAUCCCUGGUGGCCAGGUCCCUACUCCUGGAGACCAGGCCCCUCUGCUCCCAUCCCUUCCCCUUUAUAAGCUGCCUGCUCCACAUGUUUUUUCUCUUUCCCCGGGUUUGUCCUUUGGUGACUGUGUUACUCUGCUGGAAUAAA